rnacentral:sRNA from 1 species
AGUCCCUUACACGGGGCAAGGCCACGACGGCCGGUUGGUAGGCCAAGGGGGCAAUGGGCCGAGAUCGGCAACUGGAAGCUCUGGGCUAUGGUGAUGUCUAGGGUGGGCAGUGGCGCUUAACUAGGACCCCCGCUGGAAACCCCAGAACUAGUUAAAGCGGCCCGAGAGGACGGACGCGGUGGUCGGUUGGUUAUAGGGGUAAAUGUAACUAGCUUAAGGUGCAUCCUGCGUGGAGUAGCCACGUAGUUCUCUGAUAGUCAAGCAGGGCUUAAAAGACUUCAAAGUAAUAAAAUCAGCAGUGGAC